GACGAACGCUGGCGGCGUGCUUAACACAUGCAAGUCGAACGGAAAGGCCCUGCUUUUGUGGGGUGCUCGAGUGGCGAACGGGUGAGUAACACGUGAGUAACCUGCCCUUGACUUUGGGAUAACUUCAGGAAACUGGGGCUAAUACCGGAUAGGAGCUCCUGCUGCUUGGUGGGGGUUGGAAAGUUUCGGCGGUUGGGGAUGGACUCGCGGCUUAUCAGCUUGUUGGUGGGGUAGUGGCUUACCAAGGCUUUGACGGGUAGCCGGCCUGAGAGGGUGACCGGCCACAUUGGGACUGAGAUGCGGCCCAGACUCCUACGGGAGGAAGCAGUGGGGAAUAUUGCACAAUGGGCGGAAGCCUGAUGCAGCAACGCCGCGUGCGGGAUGACGGCCUUCGGGUUGUAAACCGCUUUCGCCUGUGACGAAGCGUGAGUGACGGUAAUGGGUAAAGAAGCACCGGCUAACUACGUG
rnacentral:rRNA from 1 species